AACUUUGUGCAGGGCAGUAUUGCAGCCAAGGAGGUUUAUCCAAGGUAUGAUUAUUGCUAAUUGAAAACUUCCCAAGAAAUCUGAGGUCAUGUUCAGACUGCGAAGUUAAUUACGUUAGAAAGCCUUGCCCAACUUGUAGCUUCUUCUGUGGAAG
ensembl:snRNA U4 U4 spliceosomal RNA